ACGCACGCUGGCGGCAGGCCUAACACAUGCCAGUCGAGCGAGGACUUCGGUUCUAGCGGCGGACGGGUGAGUAACGCGUGGGAAUGUGCCCUUCUCUACGGAAUAGCCCUGGGAAACUGGGAGUAAUACCGUAUACGCCCUAUUGGGGAAAGAUUUAUCGGAGAAGGAUCAGCCCGCGUUGGAUUAGGUAGUUGGUGGGGUAAUGGCCUACCAAGCCGACGAUCCAUAGCUGGUUUGAGAGGAUGAUCAGCCACACUGGGACUGAGACACGGCCCAGACUCCUACGGGAGGCAGCAGUGGGGAAUCUUAGACAAUGGGGGCAACCCUGAUCUAGCCAUGCCGCGUGAGUGAUGAAGGCCUUAGGGUUGUAAAGCUCUUUCAGCUGGGAAGAUAAUGACGGUACCAGCAGAAGAAGCCCCGGCUAACUCCGUG
rnacentral:rRNA from 1 species